rnacentral:rRNA from 1 species
AACGGCAGCACGGGAGCAAUCCUGGUGGCGAGUGGCGAACGGGUGAGUAAUAUAUCGGAACGUGCCCAGUCGUGGGGGAUAACGUAGCGAAAGCUACGCUAAUACCGCAUACGAUCUAUGGAUGAAANCGGGGAUCGCAAGACCUCGCGCGAUUGGAGCGGCCGAUAUCAGAUUAGGUAGUUGGUGAGGUAAAGGCUCACCAAGCCGACGAUCUGUAGCUGGUCUGAGAGGACGACCAGCCACACUGGGACUGAGACACGGCCCAGACUCCUACGGGAGGCAGCAGUGGGGAAUUUUGGACAAUGGGCGCAAGCCUGAUCCAGCAAUGCCGCGUGCAGGAUGAAGGCCUUCGGGUUGUAAACUGCUUUGUACGGAACGAAACGGUGAGCUCUAAUACAGUUUGCUAAUGACGGUACCGUAAGAAUAAGCACCGGCUAACUACGUG